AAGAGCAAGGCACUUGCAAUGCCAGGGUUGUGGGUUCAAUUCCCACGGGGGACCAGUAUGAAAAGGCCAUGCUGUUUCCAGGCCCACCCAGCUAAUUGGCAUACACGAUGAGGCGGCUCCUGAAAGUUCGACCGUGGGGCAGGGGAUUCCAGUACCUGAUUGACGGGGAGGGUUAUGGCCCGGAGGAGAGGUGAUGGGUCCCCGCUAGGGACAUCCUGGACCCAGGCCUCAUCACUGAGUUUCAACGCCGGCACCCCGGUCAACCAGUUUUCCCAGUUUUGACCAUUCUGCCUGGCCUGACCUUGAGCCUGCCUGCCGUUAUGUACCUUAUCACACCACCCUGGAUUACUGACCUCUCCCUGCCCUGACCCUGAGCCUGCCUGCUGUUCUGUACCUUUCGGACUCUGCUCUGGAUUACUGACCUCUGCCUGCCUUUGACCUGUCGUUAUGCCUG
rnacentral:lncRNA from 1 species